UGGGGAAUAUUGCACAAUGGGCGCACGCCUGAUGCAGCCAUGCCGCGUGUAUGAAGAAGGCCUUCGGGUUGUAAAGUACUUUCAGCGGGGAGGAAGGGAGUCAAGUUAAUACCUUUGCUCAUUGACGUUACCCGCAGAAGAAGCACCGGCUAACUCCGUGCCAGCAGCCGCGGUAAUACGGAGGGUGCAAGCGUUAAUCGGAAUUACUGGGCGUAAAGCGCACGCAGGCGGUCUGUCAAGUCGGAUGUGAAAUCCCCGGGCUCAACCUGGGAACUGCACUCGAAACUGGCAGGCUAGAGUCUUGUAGAGGGGGGUAGAAUUCCAGGUGUAGCGGUGAAAUGCGUAGAGAUCUGGAGGAAUACCGGUGGCGAAGGCGGCCCCCUGGACAAAGACUGACGCUCAGGUGCGAAAGCGUGGGGAGCAAACAGG
rnacentral:rRNA from 1 species